UCGACUUUUACACAGAGCAAAAAGGGGGUUCUUCUCUUGAACCCUAACUCACUAAAAUCCAUCAAAAUCAAAGGGAAAUCAAGCUAGAAAUCGGGGUUUUAUCUAAAUUCGUGAUCACCCAAGCUAGGAGAUCACAAGGCAAAGCGGGUGAAACGUCGAGUGGUCAAGUUGGAACGGACGCGCGCUUGAAGGAUAAGCUAUAAGGAGCAAGCUCCCAUGGAGCCAAACCCUAAAUUCAACAAGAUCUUCAAAUUGGAGGAUCAAACGAAGGCCAAAUUUGGAUUUGAAUACAUAGAAACGAUCACCAAG